rnacentral:sRNA from 2 species
GCCGAAUGUUCCUCGUGGGCACAACGAUUAUGAGCGUGAGAUUCCUACAAAAUACCAUAUCUAUUUUUGGCCGUUAUUCACAAAUGUAUUCUGAUCUCACCGAUAUGGAGACUUUGGGAAUCUGGUGAGAAAUUGAAACCAUUCCAUCUGGACAAGGAGUUUGUCUUGAAAAUUAUGAAACUUGGCCCACGGGAUAUCCCAACUGCCAAAGGUCUCCCAGAGAUGACUGGUUAAAGUAUUUCCCUCCACAAGUUGAUGUUCUAUAAAAACAGGUUACUUGUUUGUUAACCCCCAGCAAUUUACCAACAAGUAGAGCGUUAUACUUAGACGUACAUGACACACACUUUGACAGUACCAGGGACUAAUUGCGUUUUCGACUUUUCGAUAAUUGGGGCUGCUCUCUCCCAAUGCCUUCAGCAGCAGAAUCUGAGAGUUUCCCAGAAGCUUGGCUCGGUAACUACGGAGAGCAGGUACUGCACUGUGUUUUCUGUCAGCUUGCGAAAAGUCUUUCACAUAUCUUGUACCAUACG